UUUCUGUAUAUGAUGUGAUUCAAAUUUUUUAAAACGGACAUAUAUUAUUCAAUCGAUGAAGAAAUAAUAUGUGUACAAUAUCUCAUAUCGCUUAAAAAAUUGGACAAUGAAUCAUACUACAAAAAAGACCAAAAUGAUUAUGAAUACGAGUGAAUAAGAAACUUGAGUUCUUAGACGGCCAAAACUAAAAGUGUUCGGUUUACUCCGGUUCAUUAUGUCAAAAAUGGAAACUUUUAAAAAGUUUCAAAAUAUUAUAUAUAUUUAAAUUUUAUUUAAAGUAAACUAUUAUAAC
rnacentral:sRNA from 1 species